ACGAAAGGUGGGAAGGGUCCCGG
rnacentral:piRNA from 1 species